UGAGUCGAGACUGAGCUUGAAUGUUGCG
rnacentral:sRNA from 1 species